ensembl:lncRNA
ACCUAGAGCACGGGGCUUCUGUGCCCCUGGCUACCUGAGUGCCUAUGAGCGUUCAGAACCGUGUGGGUUUCAGGCCCAGCUGCAAGCUCAUUGUAAGCACAGCCCUCCUGCUUGAUCUCAGGAAAGGAGCUCCACUUUACAGCCAGGUGGAGGCCCCAUGUGACGUGGCUCCUCCUGCUGCUCCUGGACUUUCUCCUUGGCAGCGCUCACCAGGCUCAGGGCUCUCUGUUAACCAGCUGUCCCCUUCUCUGGACUGGAAGCCCCACAGGGAGGGGAAUUCUGGUUCAUCGUGUUCACUUUAUCAUCAGGCCCUAGCACAGAUCCUGACGUGUACGUAUUUGUUAAACAAACACAAGGGAAUAAAUACAGGGAAUGAUAAAUGCUCUGGCAGUGAGAGUCCUCUAUGAUGAUCCUCUCUUCCCCGGGAUGACCUUACAUGGAGGUGGA